UACGUAGGGUGCGAGCGUUGCCCGGAUUUAUUGGGCGUAAAGGGCGCGUAGGCGGCUCGACACGUUCGUUGUGAAAUCUCCCGGCUCAACUGGGAGGGUGCGCCGAAUACUGAAUGACUAGAGUGCGGGAGAGGAAAGUGGAAUUCCUGGUGUAGCGGUGAAAUGCGUAGAUAUCAGGAGGAACACCGGUGGUGUAGACGGCUUUCUGGACCGUAACUGACGCUGAGACACGAAAGCGUGGGUAGCAAACAGG
rnacentral:rRNA from 1 species